rnacentral:rRNA from 1 species
GACGACGACGUUGAUAGGCUGGGUGUGUAAGUGCAGCGAUGCAUUGAGCUAACCAGUACUAAUGAACCGUGAGGCUUAACCUUA